rnacentral:snRNA from 1 species
GGAUGUGAGGGCAAUUUGGCUUCAAUAUCUGUCACCCCACUGAUCGGCAGGGUUGAUUUGGCCGAUCUGGCUGGCUAAGUGGGUGUCCCCUUCCUCCCUCACUGCUCCAUGUGCAUCUCUCCUGCAACUGGAGAAGACGACAGCCUUCCCCAAUAGACACAGGCCAAUCUUCCAUCAGGGGUAUAGCUGUGCUGCACUGGUAGAAACUCCAAACAAGCUCUCAAGAAUGAGAACUGUGACCAGCUGAUGGCACACCCAGCUAAGUGCU